rnacentral:rRNA from 1 species
UACAGAGGGGGCAAGCGUUGUUCGGAAUUACUGGGCGUAAAGGGCGCGUAGGCGGCCGCCUAAGUCAGACGUGAAAUCCCUCGGCUCAACUGGGGAACUGCGUCUGAUACUGGGUGGCUUGAAUCCGGGAGAGGGAUGCGGAAUUCCAGGUGUAGCGGUGAAAUGCGUAGAUAUCUGGAGGAACACCGGUGGUGAAGGCGGCAUCCUGGACCGGCAUUGACGCUGAGGCGCGAAAGCCAGGGGAGCAAACGGG